GCGCCCGUAGCUCAGCUGGAUAGAGCAACAGCCUUCUAAGCUGUGGGUCAGCCGUUCGAGUCGGCUCGGGCGCGCCA
rnacentral:tRNA from 2 species